rnacentral:rRNA from 1 species
GAUCAUGGCUCAGGAUGAACGCUGGCGGCGUGCCUAAUACAUGCAAGUAGAACGCUGAAGGAAGGAGCUUGCUCUUUCCGGAUGAGUUGCGAACGGGUGAGUAACGCGUAGGUAACCUGCCUGGUAGCGGGGGAUAACUAUUGGAAACGAUAGCUAAUACCGCAUAACAGUAGAUGUUGCAUGACAUUUGCUUGAAAGGGGCAAUUGCUCCACUACCAGAUGGACCUGCGUUG